UAAGGAUUUUUAAAAAAUUUA
rnacentral:piRNA from 1 species